rnacentral:rRNA from 1 species
UACGUAGGGUGCAAGCGUUGUCCGGAAUUAUUGGGCGUAAAGAGCUCGUAGGCGGUUCGUCGCGUCGGCUGUGAAAACCUGAGGCUCAACCUCAGGCCUGCAGUCGAUACGGGCGGACUUGAGUACUGCAGGGGAGACUGGAAUUCCUGGUGUAGCGGUGAAAUGCGCAGAUAUCAGGAGGAACACCGGUGGCGAAAGCGAGUCUCUGGGCAGCAUCUGACACUGAGGCACGAAGGCCAGGGGAGCAAACGGG